GAACGCUGGCGGCGGGCGUACUUCAUGCAAGUAGAUCGAGCGAAGCAAGCAGAUCCUAUUCGGAGGAGACACGUUCGGAAAGAGAGCCGCACGCGUGAGUGUCACGUGGACACCCCGCCCGUAAGAGUGGGAUAUCCCUGGGAAACCGGGGAUAAUACCCGAUAAUACUCUUUGUAUCACAACGUGAAAAUGAGAGAGGCGUCUUAGCUGUCCAUUACCGAAGGGCCCGCGGGGCCUUAAGUAGGUGGUAGGGGAACGGCUUCACCAGGGGGCGGAGGGUUACCGGCCUGGGAGGGUGGUUGGCCCCCCUGGGGAUGGGGCCCGGCCCCGGCUUCUUCGGGGGGCCGCCGUUGGGAAUUUUUCGCAAAGGGAGGAAAUUUGGCGGGACCACCCCGGCUGGGUGAAGGAGGUUUUUGGAUUGUUAAACUUUGGUGUCCGGGAAGGACAAGGUCCGUUCGAAUAGGGUGGCACCUUGACGGUACCUGACCAGAAAGCCCCGGCUAACUACGUGCCAGCAGCCGCGGUAAUACGUAGGGGGCAAGCGUUGUCCGGAAUUAUUGGGCGUAAAGCGCUCGCAGGCGGUUCUUUAAGUCUGAUGUGAAAUCCCGCGGCUCAACCGCGGAGGGCCAUUGGAAACUGGAGGACUUGAGUGCAGAAGAGGAGAGUGGAAUUCCACGUGUAGCGGUGAAAUGCGUAGAGAUGUGGAGGAACACCAGUGGCGAAGGCGACUCUCUGGUCUGUAACUGACGCUGAGGAGCGAAAGCGUGGGGAGCGAACAGGAUUAGAUACCCUGGUAGUCCACGCCGUAAACGAUGAGUGCUAGGUGUUAGGGGGUUUCCGCCCCUUAGUGCUGAAGUUAACGCAUUAAGCACUCCGCCUGGGGAGUACGGCCGCAAGGCUGAAACUCAAAAGAAUUGACGGGGACCCGCACAAGCGGUGGAGCAUGUGGUUUAAUUCGAAGCAACGCGAAGAACCUUACCAGGUCUUGACAUCCUCUGACCAUCCUAGAGAUAGAAUGUUCCCUUCGGGGACAAAGUGACAGGUGGUGCAUGGUUGUCGUCAGCUCGUGUCGUGAGAUGUUGGGUUAAGUCCCGCAACGAGCGCAACCCUUGAUCUUAGUUGCCAGCAUUUAGUUGGGCACUCUAAGGUGACUGCCGGUGACAAACCGGAGGAAGGUGGGGAUGACGUCAAAUCAUCAUGCCCCUUAUGACCUGGGCUACACACGUGCUACAAUGGAUGGAACAAAGGGCAGCGAACCCGCGAGGUCAAGCAAAUCCCAUAAAACCAUUCUCAGUUCGGAUUGCAGGCUGCAACUCGCCUGCAUGAAGCCGGAAUCGCUAGUAAUCGCGGAUCAGCAUGCCGCGGUGAAUACGUUCCCGGGUCUUGUACACACCGCCCGUCACACCACGAGAGUUGGUAACACCCGAAGUCGGUGAGGUAACCUUUUGGAGCCAGCCGCCGAAGUGGGACCAAUGAUUGGGGUGAAGUCGUA
rnacentral:rRNA from 1 species